rnacentral:rRNA from 1 species
AUUCGGAUCGGAGUCUGNAACCCGACUCCGUGAAGCUGGAUUCGCUAGUAAUCGCGCAUCAGCCAUGGCGCGGUGAAUACGUUCCCGGGCCUUGUACACACCGCCCGUCAAGCCAUGGAAGCCGGGGGUGCCUGAAGUGUGCAACCGCAAGGAGCGCCCUAAGGUAAAACCGGUGACUGGGGCUAAGUCGUAACAAGGUAUC